CACGUAGUUAGCCGUGGCUUCCUCCUUGGCUACCGUCUUCUUUCGUCACCAAGGACAGAGGUUUACAAUCCGAAAACCUUCUUCCCUCACGCGGCGUCGCUGCAUCAGGGUUUCCCCCAUUGUGCAAUAUUCCCCACUGCUGCCUCCCGUAGGAGUCUGGGCCGUGUCUCAGUCCCAAUGUGGCCGUUCAACCUCUCAGUCCGGCUACCGAUCGUCGGCUUGGUAGGCCUUUACCCCACCAACUACCUAAUCGGCCGCGAGCCCAUCUAUCAGCGGAUUGCUCCUUUGCCAACCAGAUGAUGCCAUCCAGUCGGUUAUGCGGUAUUAGCGUUCCUUUUCAGGACGUUACUCCCCCUCUCAUAGGUAGGUUGCUCACGUGUUACUCACCCGUCCGCCACUAAAUUAUCAUCUUCCACCGAAGGCUUCUGUCGAUAAAUUCCCGUUCGACUUGCAUGUGUUAGGCGCGCCGCCAGCGUUCGUCCUGACGCCAGGAUCAAACUCU
rnacentral:rRNA from 1 species